rnacentral:rRNA from 1 species
GACGAAGGAUGCAAGCGUUAUCCGGAUUCAUUGGGUUUAAAGGGAGCGUAGGUGGCCUGCUAAGUCAGCGGUGAAAUCUCUGGGCUUAACCCAGAAAUUGCCAUUGAUACUGGUGGGCUUGAGUGCAGUUGCUGUUGGCGGAAUAUGACAUGUAGUGGUGAAAUACAUAGAGAUGUCAUAGAACACCGAUUGCGAAGGCAGCUAACAAAACUGUAACUGACACUGAGGCUCGAAAGUGCGGGGAUCAAACAGG